GAGAGAAAAGAAAAAUUCUUCUUUAACAAGCUAGAAAGAGAAGAAUUAAUCUCAGAAAUAAAAAGCUAUCGAGCUAGUUCCCGGAAAGGGAAAGAAGAAGAAUAUAAAACAAAGUGAUUAUUAUUCCAUUAUGGACAGAAUUACCAAAUCUUAACAGUGACGCCCCUGGUUUUGCACGUUAUCACUUGCUCUUAUCGGUACCAAAUCCUCGACCAAAUCCGACAGAUAGUUUUUGUCCUAUCCAUCGACUCGACUAUUAGUUUCCUCUCUCCAGUCGAUCUCCACAGUAAUUUUUCAUGAUAUUAUUGGAAUAUUAUUACGUUUACUGUCUAUGAUCUGAGAAAAAUGCAGCAGCACCAUCGCCAUAUAUAUAUAUAACUCCAUAUAUGAGCAAGAAAAGCUUCAGAAGCAAAGUUGAAAUUUGCAUGAACCAGCUUGCUGGUUCUAUCUUCUAGAUCAGUCUCUUGUAUUCUUUCUUGUCUGCUAAUAUACUGUACGUGGAUUCUUCCAGAUUUGUCAGCGUACGUAUAGCUACAUCUGUAUGUCGUUGAUUUCUUCUGUUACUCGAUCGAGCAAAGCGGAUAAAAUCAAAAGUUCAAAACAAAUUAAUCAGAGACUAUAUAUUUUUUUGAUGUGGCUAGCUACCUCUCUCAUCAUGUCGCCAACACCAACCAAGUGUUUUAGUUUCUAGCCGAGAAGAAAUGAAGACAUCAUGAGUGUAUUUUCUGAUCCUUGUCUUCAUGUUUGAAUUGAUUUUCGUGUAUGUAUAUAUAUCCAUUAUUGAAUUAACAUUUUUCAUAUUAUUCCAGAUAUAUAUAUAUAUAUAUAUAUAUAUAUAUAUAUAUACACAACUUGGUUAAAUAAAGAUAAGAAAUUAUUCAAAUUAAAGAUCAAGAAACUAAACCCCCUUAAGUGGUCAGGUUGUUAAGAAAUUUAGGUCUAGGUUUGAAUCUUGUUGAUGUUGAUUGAAAUACAAUCUUAACUUAUUUCUGGUAUGUAUGAGAAAUGAAAUGCUCUAACAUGAUCUCCUGACAUAGAUUAAUAUCUAAUAUCUUAAUUAGAAAAGUUAGAAGAUCAUCAAGAACUAAAGGAGUCCAAAACGUUGAUCUCCAAGUUUAUGCAGUUCCAUGAGCAAUGAAGUUCCAUUUGGUAAAAGAAAAAAGAAUACACAUUCUUAAUCGUAUUUUUCUUUGAUAAAUGAUGAAUCAAUUACAUAAAAAAACCCAAUUAUUGGCAUGGAAAAGAGAGGAGGCAAGGCUACGGGACCAGCGGAUAUGCAUGCAUGUGGUCCAAAUUUCCAAUGUUAUUGGAUUAGAUGCUCAGAUUUUUGCAGUUUCCUUACUACAAAUCCUAGCUUGGGUUAACUAUCUGUGGUAAAAACAUGUGUAACGACCACAAAUUCACUAUGAAUAUAAGAUUGAUCAGAUCGAUCUCUUUCAGUGGUUUCACUUUCAUCCUCCUCCUCCUCUUUGUUUGAUUAGUUUUAGUUUUCUUUUCUUAUAAUAUGGAUCAGCUUUGAACGAGAUGACAUGACAAUAUAUCUCUAUUAUUAGAAAUCCAGGCACCCUAUCUCGUGCAUGUCAUGAUGAAACAUUUUUUUAAAUUACCUAAAAAACCAAGAUAAUACAAAAUACUUAAAGAAAAUAAACAUAAAUUUCUAUAGGCAUAACUGUAAAUCACCAUUAGAAUUUUAUGGAGAAAAAAAUGACGUGGUUUGUUCCUACUUUUCGUGGAACAGAUAUCUAAAAAUAAGAUAAUCAGAUUCAUUUCACUUUAAGUAGAGCAGUUUAAGUUAAACUUCUCCUAUUUAUAUACCACGUGCAGAGACACGGGUAAAAAUGCUAAUAUAAAAAACAGUUCAAGUUAAACUUCUCUUAUUUGUAUAACACGUGCAGAUGCACGGGUUUUAAGGCUAGUAUAAGGAAUAUCAGCAAGUGUAAUACAGAGAAAUAUUGGAAUCGUCAAAACAGAUGGAACUAAAGUCGCAAUAUUGACAAGAACAGCAUAUGAAGCAUGGCUAUUUACUUUUCCCCAAUCCACACUAGCUAGCUAAUAUGAGAUAAGCCUAUAAUAGUACAUCCAAUCAGAUCGAGCUUGAGUAUUUGAGUGUGGAAAAGAUUGCUAUGUUCCUCGAACUAUAUAUAUGAUGAAUUAGGACAGCUGUGAAGAAAAAGAACUCUUAAAAAAUUGAUGAAGUAGCUUGGGUGAAGAAAUGCGGUAAGAGUACCAACAUUUGGAAAGCUUCAUCUCUGCGAUUCUACUUUAACAGAAAGAAUCAAACCCAAUUGUAACCCCAAUAAUCUCAAGUGAAAUGAACACCUAGAUAAAUUUGUUUGUUUUUUUUCUUUUUUCUUUUUUCUUGUAUAUAUCCCCAUGAUAAUUAAAGUGCAAGAAUAAUGAGAAUGAUGGUUUUGUUCAUGUUGGUGGGACUAAACCCUAGCUAGCUAGUGGCAAUGCAUAUGUGGCCACAAUCACAUAUUCAGCAAAUAAAGAGAUAUCCAGUACCCUUGGAUCUCUUAAUGUAAAUAGCUAGGGUUUCGCUCAACCACUGUUAAUUCCACACACUCGAUUAAGACGUAUCAUGCAUUUAUAUGAUAUAUCUCAUUUUUGUUUCUUUAAUUUCUCUAUGAAAUAUCGUAUCCAACUAUCCAGACUCAUAAUCUUCGAUUCCUUUUUUUCAUUGACCAUGGGAUACCUUCCAAAUUCAUCACAACUGAUCGAUUCGAGGUGAAAGAUUCAUAUACCUCAUGUCCCCCUCAAUGGCCUAUUGGUUCUGUAUAUAUGUACGCAGAAAUCACAAUGCACGAGAGUCAGUAGUGCUUAUUUGGGGACCAACUAGCUACUUGAUUGAAAUGUUCAUGAUGGAAUAUUUUCUCAAAUCCUUUGAGAUAACUUUGGCUAGUAUCUACUUUGUCCCAUCUGUUUUUCUGAUACAUAUAUAGACUAUAGUUGCUUUCAUUCUUUCACAUUUUCUCCCCGAGAUUAGAGUCUUGGAGAUGAUCAUAACUAGCACUAGUUACAUCAUUAGGGUUUAGCUAAGACAAAUGUGAAAAGUGUAGCCCUAGCAAUGAUGAACCCUAAGUGGAUCGAGUGGAGUUAGUAAGAGGUUUCUAAAGUGUAGCAUACAGCGUUUCAUGCCAUAUUAAACGAUCUCUAAUUAUAUAAUUUAUGUUUUAAAAGAAAUUAGCCGGGACAUUUUGAUGCAUCGUUAAUUAAUAUCUUGAAAUCUAUAAACUACGUUCUUAAUUAUAGGGUAAUUCUUUGUUUUUCAAAUUGAUAAUAUGUGAUGUGACUGCUAUAAGACUCUCUUAACUAAAUUAAUUAGAUGAUUAGGUUUUGAUGCAAUUAUCUUUCUAUGCUAACUGUGACUCACGUACAUAUGAGGUAAAAUAUACGACCUAAAAAUAGAAAAUGAAACUCUUCAGACCCAUAUAGGUUUGUUAUUUUCUACUAUAAUAUACCUAGAUAAAGCUCUAACACGAAUUAUCCAAAGACUUUUUCAAGGAAGAAGAAUUGUUGGUAUGACUUGGCUCGAUCCAUUCCUAGUGAGAACUGAACUUUACUAUAAAGAUGAAAACACCCCCAUCUGCUUCCAGAUAAAAUAAAAGAGCAAAAACACAAAAACACACACAUCAAAGUUGGAAACCACUCCCCAUCAAGACAAUAAAAAUCUCAACAAUAAUUUGUGGCACUGCAAUACCACUUUGGGUUACUAUAUUCUAAUGAAAGCAAAUGGGAGACAAGAAAGGUGGUUAAAGGUUAAAUCAUCCAACGAGGAUGGACUAAACUGGAGCUUAAUGUAAUCAUCCCAGGGUGUAUGGAACACCAAAACCUUGUCUUAGGCACUUGGAUCUUAAUGCUCGUCUCUUUUACAAUGCCGCUUAAUCUAAUGUGAUGAGGAAAUCUAUGGUCUCUUAUUUGAAUUACAUACACAAAAGAACAUGGUUUUUAUUGGAUUUAAAAGAGCACUGAGAGCAAAGUUUGGGGCAAGUUGUUUAAUUAUUUUGGUUAUUUUGGAAGGUAUAUCUAUGAGAGAGAGAGAGAAAUUUUGAUUGAUGCGAUGUUCAUGGUUUUCUCCACGUCAAGGUUUGCAUUAUUUAGAGUCUGACUGAAAGUGACCGAGUGUUCAAGAAUCUCAAGGGUCGGCUCUAUCUCAAGAAAUGACCAAGUUGAAUUCAAAGCUAACAUUAUCUAUAAAAAUUUGAGGACUCAAUCUUUAAUUGUAUGAAAUUUGUCAAUGAACAGAUAAUAUAUAUAUUCCAGAAGGUUAGAGAAUUUAACUAUCGCAUGCUUCAAUGAUUAUGUAUACGUGAUCAAUGGUAGGAACAAGAUGCUGCUACUCUCAAUUAAUUUCUUAAUUUAAUUUUUUCUUAGAUAUAGAAAAGCACAAGCUAGCUAGCGUGCAUAUCUGAAACGCACAAACUGUUCAUGCAUGCUUCCUUUAUAUUUCCUAGCUGAGGUUAAAAUUGAGUGGAAGAUAGUUUGUUCAAAGAUAAGAGUAUUGUAAAGAAAGUAUAAAUUAGGAGCAAGCUAGGAUGCCUAUGUGAAGGAAUUUCAAUUGCUUCCCUCAUUUUACCUUGGGGCAACAUAGAUCCAGAUAUGAAAUAUAUCAAUGGACAUGCAACACUUCAUCUACUAUUUAGUAUUUACAUGACAAAUUGGAGGGAAAAAAUAUCUACCGGAUGGAAAGAUUCACUCCAGCUUUCGUUUACUAAUUCAGAGAGUUGGUAAGAAAUUAAACUAUCAUCACCAAUUAUUCUAGGAUAGUAGUAGUUGUGGUUUGGAACUUGAUUUGGUUGCAGCUGAUGUCUAUUCUGACAUAAUAUCACAGAAGUACAUGACAUCAACUUCAAGUUCUCGUGCACUAACUACUACCUUGCUCCAUAGGCUAUGGAUCACCCAAGUCGACAUGUAUCAGGAGAGGAGGUGAGGCUGGGAUUGGAGGGUGGGACUCUAAGUUUUAAAACUUGAAAAAGGAGAGCGCCUGAAACAGCUCCAAUUGUUGGGGCACAAACGUAUAUCCAAAUGUCCUUGAAGUUCCAUGAAACAAUAGCUGGUCCGAGGGACCUUGCUGGGUUCAGUGAUCCUCCUGAAACAGGCCUGCAAUACAUCCCCAAAUUAGAUUCUAUAAGGUGAAGAUGUGAAAUGGGAUUAGGUUGUUAAGAAUUGCGUGAAUCAACAUAAGCGUCUCCCUAAGUUGCACGAAGGCCUUUUGAGUUAAAAUGACACACUUUAAUGAUCUUAAGAGUGAAGAUGGUUUCGUUUUCGUUGCUGCAAUUUGGAGAUUUGAAAGAGCUGGAUGUAAGAAAUUUCUAAGGAGUUGUAUCAAAUUCAUCAUUUCUAUGUAUGUACAUACCCGGUGAUUAGCACAGCUAGUCCAAUGGCGAUGCCAAGAACAAAUCCAGAUAAAGGACCAACCUGGAAAAGACCAAACAGGUACAUGCAUUAUAUAGUGGAGCAUAUACAUAGAGCAUCCAAAAUGACACAAAUUGAAAAUGAGUAGACAGGUCCAAAAUCAUAAUGUAACAUUCAGAAUUCCUAGCUAGAAUUCCUAGCUAGCAUAGGAAUCUGGGUUCAGCAAAUAGAGGGGAUCAAAUUGAAGCGCAAAUUAGUGUAAAUAAAGGUGGAGAGUUCCUUACAGCUUGAGCAUGAUGUAUCAUAGAAGCAGCAAGGAACAAAACUAUGAAAGUUGCUAUAAGCUCCACCCAGAAGGCAGAAACACAGCUUUGUACUGGUUUGGUGAGCAUGAGAUCUGAUUUUAUGCCAUAAACAAGCUUUCCAACGAGUGCUGCCAGAACAGAACCCAAUGUUUGUGCCAUUGUGUAUAGAGGAACCUGUGGAAAAUACAGGAAAAGACAUCAGUUUUGAUGAUUAACCAACAUUAAAAUCAAGAGGUUUAAGUAUCAAGUACCCUGGACCAUGGGAAAUGACCUAAGGUUGCAAAGGCUACUGUGACAGCAGGGUUAACAUGAGCACCAGAGAUGGUGCCUAUGGAGAAAAUCACAACCACUACUGUUAAACCUGCUGUGGAUGCAUACUCCAUAAGGCCCACUUCUCCUCUCAGCAGUUGUGUGCUUGCUAUGAUCCCACAUACACAGAACAUCAAGAUAAAAGUUCCAACCAUCUCUGCCACAACCUGCUUAAUUCUUUCAGUACAAUAAGCCAAAUUGUUUUCAGAAGCUACUUUCAAUGAACUAAGGCUACCAGUAACAUGAUUGUAUUGAACUUUUCUGCCAAGCAUCUACUUUGGUUAUACCCUUUCAUUAACAAGUUAUUCAGAUGAGUUUACACAACAAAGCAACAGUAUUGAGAAGUUCUCCAAAUGGACGAUAAUUUUAGCCUCUUCUGGCUUGGUAGUUGGAGACUAGGAGUUAUAUGCUUGUUCUUCUUUGAGUUCUUUAUUCUUAAUUUCUUGACUAUACCAGCAUAACCAUAAAAGCUAGCAGCAUAUUUCUAGUUUCUCAAUUGUCAUGAAGUGAAUGUAUCUUUCCAAGUACUAUUAGUUAUCAGGCUGUUAAAUAAUAUGCUUGCAACCAUUGCCUUGUUUUGAUCAUGCCGUGUGAAAUUACAUCACAAUGCAAGCUCAAUAUUAAUGUUCAGAAUCAAGAAAAUAUAAAAGACUAGAGAUGAUGUUGAAAUGCUUGGUGCUUCUUUUUCUUACCGCACGCAAGAGAUUUAGAUUGAUUUCGAGUGGAAAACAGAAGGUAGAGUUCUUCAAGACAUGAUGAUCAGCACUGUUUGACAAUGCAUUGGAACCUAUCUCUGGAUCAUCUUCUUUAGAAUGGCCGCUAGUUGAUGCCGAGUUUGAAUUCUGGGGUGAUGGUUUGGCCUCUUCAUAUAAUCCUUUCAUGAUCAAACUUGCUUCCCAUGCACUGUCCAAAGGGAACACAAAGUUUAAGAUUGAAGAUGAAGUUGUUUUGAAAACUGAGUUUUUAUUGGGCAGAAAAAGGGGAAGUGCAAAGAACAUGUACAAUAGAAAAGCUGUACUUAUUUCUUGCAUGCCGAGAUGGAUAGUCAAUUGGUUAAAGUGAGGAGGUUAGUUUGUUGCUCACACAGUCUAGGCUCUAUAAAACGGCUCAAAGGUUCACUGGUAAAAGAUGAUUGGGUUUCCAACACAAUUCUUGUGAGUGCUUAAAAGUGGAAUAGUUUUGUGCUUCUUACCUAUCUCAGUCUUAAACCUUAAUCCACAAUGUAGUGUUGAUUGUGUUGUUGCUCUCUAUCAAUUUCUUGUGAUCGAUCAUCAAAUCUUUAACUUCUCCAAAAGGAAAUCUGAAUCUUAACCUCUUCAGAUGCUGUGCAUAGGUAAUAGAUAGGUAACAGCUUGGUCAUUCUCAGAGUGCAUGGACAAGUUCUAACCAUCAUGUUUUCACCAACUUUUUUUUGUUGGUUACAAACAUAGUUAGUCUGAAUUUUUUUUUUUUUUUUUUCCAUUUGUGAUUUGAACCAACAGUUUCACAUUAGCUCUUUGGAGCUGUCCUCGGUUGGCUCGUCUUCUGAUAAGCUCGGCCACAGUUGAUUGUCACUGCAAAUUAUAAGAAUAUAGGGUUAUUAGCUUAUCAUAGGCAUGAAAGAAGAGUAAGAAAAUGGUACAUACGUUCUGGUUUAUGUCAUUGAGAUUAAGAAUAAGGCGGAGAGGUCCAUGUUUCUUCUAUACAAAACAAAGUGCACAAUCUCAUAUGUAUUAUCAAGUCAAAGCAAAAUCAAACAGCAUGUUUUGUGAUUGAUUAAGCAAAAAUAUUCUAAUUAUGCAGCUCAUCGUCAUGUGUGUGCUAGACUUAAAAUGUGUUCUGAUGUUAGAAGUCAAAUAGGUUGAUGGUCACACAUACCAUACAUAUGGCAAAACUAACAACAGAUUCUAGCAGCUAGUUAUACUAGACUACUAGAGUAAGUUCAACUUUUACGGUUAACUCCACCUUCAACAUAUGAUCAUUAUGAUGAACAAGAAAAAAUUUCGGCUGAUGACCUGCAUCUGUGUAAUGAACUGAAGUACAACUAUUUCUGAUUGUUACCAGAUUCUGGUAUUGCGAUCUAUUAAUGAUGAACUUCACUAACUUGAGUAUAAGUGUAUAACACUAACUCUCUCGUGCCCUAACAAGAGAAGCUUUUUGGCUGAUGAAAUGCAGAAAUACUAAGUACAGCUGUUGGUUCUUGGAACCGAAUUUAUGUAACUUUAUGAUGGAACUUCACUUACUCUCACAUCACUACUCAAGUACUCAUUCAUCCAGACUCUUUAGAUAGGCACCACAUACUUUCUAUCACAUUUAGAAUUUUCAAGAUGACUUCCUGGACACAAAUUCCAGACCCUCUCAAGUUCUUUUAAAGUUUCCAAACUGAUCUAGUACACUAAAUGCUGCAAUCCACAAAACGAUUUCCAUAAAUGAAGUUUUCUCUCAUCAAUGGGUGUUAGACUUAGGAAGAAAUAUGCAUUCCCCCAUAAUAGUCAUGUUAUAAUAUCCAGACCAAAAUAAAUAAAAUAGUAAUGAAAAUAAUAUGAAAGGUUUCAUGAGUUACAUAAGUUACAUGAGUUACACAAAGAACAUGGAUGGUUUUGGAGUUAUAGUCAAGGCAUGAGUUAUAGGAAGAUUCAUGAAGUACCAUUUAUUGGGAGAGCACUAAUGAGAGGUCUAGAUGAUUCCUCCUUAGCCUAUAAAAAGAGAGUCAUUUGCUCAUUCCAAGCAUCUCAUCCAUCUCAAACCUCUAUCUUCCAAGUAGAGAAGAGUGUCCACUCCAAGUUGAGAGUGUAGAGUAGUUGGUGGCAGAACAAGCUAGUGUGAGAGAGGGUUUCCUUCAAGUAGUGUUCUUGAAGUUGUGUAUCUCGUGUACCCAUUAUUUCAUAGUGGAAGUUCUUGUUAUUGCUGCCCCGUGGACGUAGGCAUAUUGCCGAACCACGUUAUAUCUGGUGUUCCCUUUCCUUUAUCUUUUACAUCUUUACAUAUUUAUCCUUUGUGUGGUUUAGUUGUUACUUCCAUUAUAUUAUUUUUUCCAACAGUGGUAUCAAAGCCCUUGGUUCGUAGGGCGUGGGCGUUAAAAUGGAAGGUUCAAGGAGUACAAUGGUUCAACUCAACCACUCAAAUUGGAUUACAUGGAAGCCACGAAUGGAGGACAUACUCUAUUGCAAAGAUUUGCAUGAGCCCAUCGAAGGAGUUGAUGCUAAGCCGGAAGGGACUUCAGAUGCUAAUUGGACGAAGAUGAAUCGUAAGGCAAUCGGUCAUAUCCGAGAGUGGAUGGAUGAUAGUGUAUUCCACCAUGUGGCAAAUGAGACUGAUGCGCAUGAGUUGUGGACAAAGUUGGAGUCGUUAUUAGAGAAGAAGACCGCCGUCAAGAAAGCCUUUCUAAUUAAAGAGCUUGCUAACAUGAAGUAUCGUGAAGGCGUGAGGGUCACCGAGCAUCUAAACAACUUCCAAAGUACAAUCAAUCAAUUGAUUGACCAUGGGGAUGACGAUCAAUGAUGAAUUACAAGCAUUGCUGUUGUUGGGGUCGUUGCCGGACAAUUGGGAGACCUUUGUCAUCACUGUAAGUAACUCUGCUCCUGAUGGUACAUUGACUAUGGAUAAUGUUAAAAGUAACAUGUUGAAUGAAGAGACAAGGAGAAAAUCCUCUAGCUCCAACAAUAGCCAAGUCUUUGUGGCGGAGAAUAGAGGUAGGAGCAAGAGUAAAGGACCUAGAGGCCAUGGAAGGAGUGCAAGCCGAUCCAGAACAAGGUUCAAUGGAAAGUGCCAUCAUUGUGGUAUUUUUGGGCACAUGAAGAAAAAUUGCAACAAGUUUAAAAAGGAUCCUAGGGAGGCUCAAGAUGGCAAUACUCAUCAACCGAAGGAUGACACAAAGAACACAACCGCUACUGUGUGCAAUGAUAUGUAUGAGUUCCUUUGUCUUGAAGGAGAAUGCCUACAUGCUGACGAUACUCCCGGUGUUGCAUAGGUCGUUGAUUCCGGAGCCUCUUUCCAUGCCACUCCAAAUAAGGAGUUUUUCUUGACAUACAAAGGUGGUGAAUUUGGGAUUGUAAAGAUGGGCAAUGAAGGCUACUCCAAGAUUGCAGGAAUUGGAGAUGUCUGCUUUGAGACCGAUUUGGGCAACAAGCUGAUGUUGAAAGAUGUUCGACAUGUUUCGGGCCUACGUCUCAAUUUGAUGUCAACUGGCGUGCUUGAUCGAGAAGGUUUUCAUCAUCACAGAGGAGAUCAAAAGUGGAGGCUUACCAGAGGAUCACUAGUGGUGGCUAGAGGGAAGUUGUGUUGCACCCUCUACAAGACAUAUGGCAAGAUAUACAAAGGGGAGUUGAAUAUCAUGGAUGACUCUUCUCCAAGUCUAUGGCACAAGCGGUUAGGCCACGUAAGUGAGAAGGGAUUGCAAGUUCUGGCAAAGAAGUCUCUUAUUCCGUUUCCCAAAGGUACCUCACUUGAAUCUUGUGAUCAUUGUUUAUUUGGUAAGCAACAUAAGGUUAGUUUUGCUAAUACAUUUACAAAGAAAGAGAAUGUUUUAGACCUAGUACACUCGGAUGUAUGUGGUCCUAUGGAAGUUGAUUCACUAGGUCAUAGCAAAUAUUUUGUCACUUUUAUCGAUGAUGCUUCACGAAAGGUUUGGGUGUAUUUGUUAAAAUCAAAAGACCAGGUGUUCCAAACCUUCAAGGAGUUCCAUGCCAUGGUUGAGAGGGAGACGGGACGAACCCUCAAGUGUCUCCGCAGUGAUAAUGGUGGAGAGUACACUUCGAACAAGUUCAACGAGUUCAGAGGUUAUUGUUCGAAGCAUGGCAUUAGACACAUAAAGACAGUUCCUGGCACCCCACAACAUAAUGGUGUAGCAGAGAGGAUGAACCGCGCCAUUUUGGAAAAAAUGAGAAGCAUGCUAAAGACGGCUAACCUGGCAAAAGAGUUUUGGGGCGCAGCAGUGACAACCGCUUGUUACCUCAUCAACCGAAUACCAUGUGUACCGUUGGGCUUGGAGACUCCAGAGAGUGUGUGGACCGGUAGAAGUGCUUCAUAUUCUCACUUGAAGGUAUUUGGGUGCAAAGCAUUUGCACAUGUUCCAAAGGAGAAAAGAUUGAAGCUAGAUGACAAGGCCGUGCCGUGCAUCUUUCUUGGGUACGGUAAUGAAGAGAUGGGCUACCAGUUGUGGAAUCCAAUAACCAAGAAGUUAUUCAGAAGCAGAGAUGUGGUGUUCCAUGAGGAUCAGACUGUUGCGAAUUUUGACAAGAACAUACUAGAAAAUGCAGAGCGCCUCACUUAUGACUCGUCUCCGCUCUAAGAAGAGUCUAACAAACCUCAAGAAAUGGUUAAUGAAGACGUCCCUGAUACGGCAGAACCAGAAGCUGCAGGUGCUGCAAAUGAUGACCAGAAGACUCAGGUUCAGGAUGAUCAUGACCAGGGGGAGCCUGAUCAUGAAGAGUCUAAUCAAGAACAACAACAAGAAAAUGCCCAAGCACCAGUUUGAAGAUCUCAUAGAGUACCGAAGCCCAAGUACCAAGUAUCCUUCUUCUAAAUAUAUUUUGCUCACCAGUGAUAGAGAUAAUCCAUAUUCCAAAUACAUUCUGUUGACUGGUGAUGGAGAGCCUGAAUGCUUUGAGGAGGUGAAGACUCAUGCAGACGGCGACAAGUGGAUAUUAGCUAUGAAGUCUGAGAUGGAGUCCUUGUUGAAAAAUGGCACCUAUGAGUUGGUGGAGCUUCCUAAAAGGCAGAAAAAGCACUCAAAAACAAAUGGGUGUUCAAGUUGAAGAGGGAGGAGAAUGAACAGUUGACAAAGUUCAAGGCUCGCUUGGUUGUCAAAGGUUUCGGGCAGAAGGAAGGAGUAGAUUUUGAUGAGAUCUUCUCACCAAUUGUCAAAAUGACAUCUAUCAGAGUUAUUUUGGGCAUGGCAGCUAGCAUGGAUCUUGAGGUGGAGCAAUUAGAUGUAAAAACGGCAUUCCUACAUGGUGAUUUGGAGGAAGAAAUAUACAUGGAGCAACCGGAAGGUUUUGAGGUCGAGGGCAAGGAGCACAUGGUUUGCAAGCUAAAGAAAAGUUUGUAUGAAUUGAAGCAAGCACCAAGGCAAUGGUACAAGAAGUUUGACUCAUUCAUGGUGGGUCAUGGAUACAAAAGAACUGAUGCAGACCCAUGUGUGUACAUUCAACGGUUCACUGGAGGUAAAUUUAUAAUUUUGUUGCUUUAUGUUGAUGAUAUGUUGAUAGUGGGGCAAGACAUUUCUAUGAUCUGCAAGUUGAAGGCAGAUUUAUCAAAGUCUUUUGAUAUGAAAGACUUAGGUCCAGCUAAGCAGAUUUUGGGCAUGGAGAUUACCCGUGAUAGGAAGGCAAAUAAAUUAUGGUUGUCACAGGAGAGGUAUGUUGAAUGGGUGCUUGAAAGGUUCAACAUGAAAGAAGCCAAGUCAGUGAGCUCACCUCUAGGUAAUCACUUUAAGUUAAGCAGAUUAUUAUGCCCAACUACANNNNNNNNNNNNNNNNNNNNGGUACAAGAAGUUUGACUCAUUCAUGGUGGGUCAUGGAUACAAAAGAACUGAUGCAGACCCAUGUGUGUACAUUCAACGGUUCACUGGAGGUAAAUUUAUAAUUUUGUUGCUUUAUGUUGAUGAUAUGUUGAUAGUGGGGCAAGACAUUUCUAUGAUCUGCAAGUUGAAGGCAGAUUUAUCAAAGUCUUUUGAUAUGAAAGACUUAGGUCCAGCUAAGCAGAUUUUGGGCAUGGAGAUUACCCGUGAUAGGAAGGCAAAUAAAUUAUGGUUGUCACAGGAGAGGUAUGUUGAAUGGGUGCUUGAAAGGUUCAACAUGAAAGAAGCCAAGUCAGUGAGCUCACCUCUAGGUAAUCACUUUAAGUUAAGCAGAUUAUUAUGCCCAACUACACAAGAGGAGAAAGACAAGAUGGCAGGUAUCCCUUACUCAUCAGCUGUUGGUAGUCUUAUGUAUGCCAUGGUAUGUACUCGUCCAGAUAUUGCUCAUGCAGUUGGAGUUGUUAGUAGAUAUUUAUCUAACCCUGGCAGAGAGCAUUGGGAAGCUGUUAAGUGGAUACUCAAAUAUUUGAGGGGCACCUCAAAGUUGUGCUUGUCUUUUGGUAGAUCCGAACCCGUUUAGGAGGGUUUCACAGAUGUAGAUUUAGCUGGGGAUCUUGAUAACAGAAAGUCCACUUCUGGGUACUUAUUUACAUUUUGUGGGGGAGCUGUAUCAUGGCAGUCCAAGUUACAGAAGUGUGUUGCCUUAUCCACCACUGAGUCCGAGUACAUAGCGGCAAACGAAGCAGGCAAGGAAAUGAUAUGGUUGCAAAGGUUCAUUCAGGAGUUGGGUGUGAAGCAAGAAAGGUAUGUGGUGUAUUGUGAUUGUCAGAGUGCAAUUCACUUGAGUAAAAAUUCAGUUUAUCACCCUCACACUAAGCACAUUGAUCUACGUUAUCAUUGGAUACGAGAUGUAGUGUCAAAGAAGUUUUUGCAGUUGAGGAAAAUUCACACCAACAAGAAUACUUCAGAUAUGUUGACUAAGGUUGUGCCACAACAGAAGUUGGAGUAUUGCAGCAAGUCCGCUGGGAUGGACUUCAAAUAGAAGUCUUGCUGCGUAUUUCCCCGGGUUGGUCUAGAGGGGGAGAUUGUUAUAAUAUCCAGACCAAAAUAAAUAAAAUAGUAAUGAAAAUAAUAUGAAAGGUUUCAUGAGUUACAUAAGUUACAUGAGUUACACAAAGAACAUGGAUGGUUUUGGAGUUAUAGUCAAGGCAUGAGUUAUAGGAAGAUUCAUGAAUUACCAUUUAUUGGGAGAGCACUAAUGAGAGGUCUAGAUGAUUCCUCCUUAGCCUAUAAAAAGAGAGUCAUUUGCUCAUUCCAAGCAUCUCAUCCAUCUCAAACCUCUAUCUUCCAAGUAGAGAAGAGUGUCCACUCCAAGUUGAGAGUGUAGAGUAGUUGGUGGCAGAACAAGCUAGUGUGAGAGAGGGUUUCCUUCAAGUAGUGUUCUUGAAGUUGUGUAUCUCGUGUACCCAUUAUUUCAUAGUGGAAGUUCUUGUUAUUGCUGCCCCGUGGACGUAGGCAUAUUGCCGAACCACGUUAUAUCUGGUGUUCCCUUUCCUUUAUCUUUUACAUCUUUACAUAUUUAUCCUUUGUGUGGUUUAGUUGUUACUUCCAUUAUAUUAUUUUUCCCAACAAGUCAGAAACCAAGAGGAGUUCCCGUUAUCCACUUCUACUUCAGAUUCUACAGGGACUAGACUAAAGUAUUUUGUUCUUCUUCAGUUGAACAACUCAGUUCAUCAACCAACAAGAUCCAACGUACAAGACAGUUGGAUUGUUGGAAUGCUAUCUUUCUUCAUCGUCACCUUACAGUUCUUGUCAAUCGCUGAACAAAUUAACUAUUUAUCUCCACUCUGGAUUUCCUCAGGACUAUACUAUACUGUCAACAUAGAGAGCUUUCAGUUUAAUCUUUACUUAGCAUAACCCUCGAAAGCUUUGCAACCUCCACAAAGUGCCUUUUGCCGAGAACACCUAAAGGUAUAAGGAUAGUUGACAAUCCUUUUAUUCUGCAAAACACCUUGGGAUGCUGUUAUCUGAUCAAGAACAAGUGGCACUAAUAUCCCUUAUGGUUUCAGGUAAAACAUGCAUCUGCAUAUCAUUGUGUUUCACAGAGGUUAGCAGCUUCGCUUGCUAUCCUAGUACUGAGUCUGUUGCUGUCCUGAGUUUCAAAGUUUGUUAUAUUAGUUUAAUAGGUCUUUCAAAUUCAAAUGGACAACUGAGUUUGUGGGAAGUGCCUUGGCGCUCGAACCAGUCUAAGGGUUGAGAUCUUUUGUUAUGCCAACCCGUGACCAAAUGGUUUGAUGCUUAAGGCUCCAGCUUGGAUUUUAUGAUACAUUAUCCAAUACAAAGCUGGUCCCUGUGUGAUUCAAAGACCAGUCGCUAUCGGCUGUGUCAAGGUCCACUAAUGGACUGAGGAAGAGGGUUUCAAACCUCUUUGCUCCCUGUUUUGAAUCGUUCAUGUUUUAGGAAAGGUAUCUUUGUCUUAUUGAGGUUGCUUGUGUCAACUCUCCAUUUGGUUACAUCACUUUCAGUAUGGAGAACCAAACACUUCUGUCCAAACCUUUCUGAAACAUGUUGAGGUCAGCUUGCAUCAUCUUUGAUGCCUUGUCUGCCUAUAUAUACCUAUAGCUUUGGCUUUGCUCAAUGGUUGUUGAAAACUGCCUUAUUGCUUUUUCUUUGUUGAGUCUAGUUUUAGCUUGCAUUGUUCAUGCUGCUCUAAGUCUUCUCCGUGACUGUAAACCUUAGAGCUUGUACUCAAAACUUCUUUCAUCAACUCAUAUCAUGUUGCAUACCAUGAGGGAUGUGUAGUGCAACCAACCCGAGAAGCGUUCACGGUUGAAUCAGCUAGUGGUUAUCUGAAUUCAAGAACAAGGCUUCUAAAAGUGUUCCAUGUUGUAAGAACUUAGAAACAAGAGAGGGAAUAGGUCUAGACUAGUUUGGGACUAGGAAGGAUAGCACUGUGGUAGUGUAUCAUUAGAACUAUUAUUCUUGUAAGAAGUUACUUCAACUUAGUGGAAAAUUUUGUCUCUCAAGAGUUAGAGACACGCAGUUUUUCUUCUUGCAUUCAGGGUUUCUGCGAGUAAAAAACAUCCUUGUGUUGUUUCUUUAUUUGCUGCAAUUUACUUUCUACAGACUCGUAUCCUGUGAAUUUGGAAUAACACAAGUCAUUGCUAUCCUCGGAUACAUAAGUCAACGAAAAUUCAAAAAAGGCCUAUUCACCCCCCUCUAGGACCUUUAAAACCCGAAAAAAAAAUUGAGAGGAAAAAUAACCUUCCCAUCUCCUCAAGUUCAUGAAAUGAGCAAUAAUUUUCUACUGUACAUAAUUAAAACUUAGCUUUCUUUUAAUGAUGCUACACAUCAAACUGUUUGGUUUGAUCCCACUAUCAAGCAUUAUCCUACACAUCAAAUAUCAUUGCACCACAAAUUUUUUACAAUCUCAACCAAGAAAAAGAAAAAACUUCAUUAACUUGCUGUCCAAAAUCCAAUGCAAAUUUUGAACAGAGAAACAUGACGAGAAAACUUACCUGAGAAUCAAAAAGCAAGCAAAACAAGUGUCAGCUUUUCUUUGCUCGGAGAAUGUUGGCGGCAACCACUAUCCCCCGGCGGGAGGGUUGUGAUUAAAAUUGGUUAUAUGCUAGGACCAUGUUACUAGUGACCAGUGGAUUGAAUCUGGCCUUUCAAGUAUGUUCUUGCGCAAAUUGGAAUAGGAUCUGCUCACUGAAGCUCCCUCAAACUCAAGUAACUAGAGGCAUAUGAAAUUACUGCAUUGGCAUUGGCAUGAAAAUAUAAAAAAUUACUGCAUUGGCAUGAAAAUAUAAAAAAUUACUGCAUUGCGAUAAAUUAGAUUUUCAAAAAAAGAUAAAUUAGAUUUUACAAAAUCAAAGUAAUCAAAUCAUUGAUUCACGAAGUAUGGACGAAAUUAAAAUCUUCCUCAGAUUUGGAUCGAACUAAGAAAAAGGAGUAAAUCUUAUUGUAAAGAUCCGGAAGUAAAAUCUCAGAUUCUCAUUCUUACAAGUCAGGAAAGGAAAGUUACACUUUCUCUUCCGAGGUUUCCAUGACUCAGUGAAUCCUUAACUUUCAAGGACUCCCUAUUAUAAUCUACUAGAAAACCCUAGAGAUUAUAUUGAGAUAUGUUAACGAAUUAAGUAUUUAAGUUGAGUUUGCCUUGUCUUCCAAGGUUUCCAUGACGAGCUAGAAAUCACAAUCCUCAAGUUACACCACCUCCUAUACGGCUAUACCUCCUAUAAAUACUAUUGUCACAAACUCACAACUCAAAAUCUUGUUGGAAACAAAGAGCAGUCAAUACAACAUGGCAUCACAAUCUUGGUAUAGAGGCAGAGUCAAGGCUGUUCCUUCAGGUGAUUGCCUUGUCAUCCAGGCCCUUCGGCCAAACAAUACCGGAAUCCCAUCGGAAAGAGUUAUAACUUUGUCAUCGGUUCGUGCUCCCAAACUAGCCGGUAAAGAUCGCAGCGCUGACGAGCCUUUUGCAUGGGACAGCAGAGAGUAUCUGAGGAAGCUCUGCCUCGGAAAGGAGGUGGUUUACUGCAUUGAUUCCGUUGAAGAACCGCUGGGAUUGGUCGGUACUGUCUUCCUUGGUAACGAUAAUGUUGCAGCCCUUGUUGUUCAAAAAGGGUGGGCAUCUGUAACGUUGCCGAGCACAACUCCUUACUAUGUUGAGCUGCAGUUUCACAUGGACCAAGCCUUUAAUAAAGGUCUCGGUCUCUGGAGCAAGGCUCCUGGUGCGGCGGAGGCAUCCAUUAGAACUCUACCUCCCCAACUCAACUUAGAGACCACCAAGACUCUUUUGGCUGCAAACAAGGGCAAGCGUGUAGAAGCUAUCGUCGAGCAUGUUUGUGAUGGCAGUACAGUUCUGGCUCAUUUGCUUCCGGAGUUUCAGUUUGUCCUAGUAAUUGUUUCAGGAACUCAGGCGCCCUACGUUGGACGUAAUGCUUAUCCUUUUGCAUCAGAAGCGAAGCUUUUCACAGAGUCUCGUGUGUUGAAUAGAGAUGUGCAUAUUGUCUUGGAGGGUGUCGACAAAUUCAGCCGUCUGAUUGGUUCUGUGUAUUACGGAGACUCUGAGAGGGACUUGGGGCUGGAGCUUGUGGAGAAUGGUUAUGCUAAAUUUGUACAAUGGAGCGCAAAAGUUAUGGAUGAAGAUGCAAAGCAGCAGCUCAAGACUGCAGAGCUUGAAGCUAAGAAGAGCAAGCGGAGGAUUUGGACAAACUUUGUACCCCCAGCUACAAAUUCCAAGCCAAUUCAUGACCAGAAUUUCACUGGAACAGUUGUGGAGGUUGUAAGUGGGGAAUGUGUCAUUGUGGCGGAUGAUUCUAGAGAGCGGAGAGUUAGCCUUUCGAGUAUUCAGUGUCCGAAGAUGGGACGGAGAGGUGAUGAGCCGGCGGCCUAUGCACGUGAAGCCAAGGAGAUGCUGAGGACACGCCUUAUUGGACGCCAAGUGAAUGUUCAAAUGGAGUAUUCCAGGAAGUUCGGCCAAGCAGAUUUGGAGUCUUCUAGAGUAAUAGAUUUCGGAUCAGUCUUUGUUAAGGCUGACGGAGAAGAUGAAAGAAACCAGGCUGAGGUAAACGUUGCUGAGCUUCUGGUUGAAUGUGGUUUCGGUACCGUUAUCAAACAUAAAGAGUAUGAUGAGAGAUCAAGAUACUAUGAUGCCCUACUUGCUGCCGAAACAUGUGCUAUUGCUGAAAAGAAAGGACUCCAUUCUUCAAAGAAGGCCCCCGUUGUGCACAUGACAGACUUGACAAUGGCAACGGCCUACGAAGCAGGAGACGUCUUGCCGUCCUUGCAGCGAACUAGGAGAGUGUCUGCAGUUGUGGAAUAUGUCUUCAGCGGUCAUCGUUUUAAACUCUACAUUCCCAAGGAGACGUGCAUCAUCUUCUUUUCUCUCUCCGGUGUGAGAUGUCCUAGUCGUGGUGAGCCCUAUUCGGACGAAGCAAUUGCCGUCAUGAGGCGAAGAUUAAUGCAGAGAGAUGUUGAGAUUGAAGUGGAGACUAUUGAUAGAAACGGAACUUUCGUGGGAAGUAUAUGGGAAUCUGGGACCAAUGUGUCAGUUGCCCUCGUUGAAGCUGGCCUUGCAAAGUAUAUUCCAUUUGGUGGUAGCGAUAAGAUCCAAGAUGGCCAUCUCCUAGAACGAGCUAUGAAAGAUGCAAAAACGAAGAAGCUGAAAAUUUGGGAGAAUUUUGACGAACAGAAAGAACUAAAGGUAGUGGUCACAGAAGUUCUGGACAGCGGUAAAUUUUAUGUGAGGACAGUUGGGGACGAGAAGAGUGCCUCUAUUCAGCAACAGCUUGCUUCGUUGAACCUUGAAGAAGCUCCUUCUGUAAGUGAUGCUUUUAAUCCUAAGCAGGGUGACAUUGUCCUUGCUCAAUAUAGUGCAGAUAAUUCUUGGAACAGAGCUAGGAUUGUCAAUAUGCGAAGGGGCAAUUUUAAAGUGUUCUACAUUGACUAUGGUAAUCAAGAGGUUGUCCCUUACAGUCAGUUACGGCCUCUUAUUCCUUCUGCUGCCGCUGUACCUGGUCUCGCUCAGCUAUGCAGCCUGGCACAUGUUAUUGUCCCGAGCUUGGAGGAGGAGUUUGGUCAAGAAGCAGGUGAGUAUUUGAGCGAGUGCAUAUUGGACAAAGAGUUCACCGCCGUGAUUGAGGGAAGAGAUAUUUCUGAAGGAAAAUUUGCCAAAGGCCAAGGAACCGGACCAGCUCUUAUGGUAACUCUUGUCACAUCAGAUGAUGUUGACAGUAUAAAUGCUACCAUGAUUCGUAAUGGACUUGCUUCUCUAGAUAACCAGAAGAAGAGGUCAUGGAAGUCUCGUACCUUGAGAGAGUUCCAGCAAGACGCAAAAACCUUCCGCCGAGGGAUGUGGCAUGAUUAUUACGAGUCUGAUCAUCAUGAGAAAAAAGCUCCUCCUGCAAGAAAGGCUGCUGGCAGUCAGUGAUUAUGAUUUUUUUUUUGGUGAUACGAAACUAUGAUCAUGUUAUACCGGUGAUGGAAACUAAUUUCCAACACAUUCUAUGUAUAUCACUAAUAUCAAACUUGCAUUCAAAUAAAGUUCCGGAUUGAUUUUCUGAACUGUUUUACAAUAUUUGAGUUUCUGUUACAAAAAGUACAUUGCGUCUCUGGCAAAAUAUGAAGAUCUUCUGCUGAACUUAAUUUCCUUAAAUAAUAAUAAAAAUUGACGAUGCGAUCAGUGCAUGUGCAUAUUCAUCCAUCUAAUGAGUUCAAUUUACUUCUUCAACUUGCUAAGAGUUGGAUAUUAGCUUUUCUUCCUUCGAUCUAACUCAUGUCUAAUCUAACCAACAGAGUAUUCAAUCUGGUGUGUCUUCUCUCAAAGUCCCAAUCCAGUGUAGUAUGGUGCAUCAAAUAAGAACGCAACUUUCGUAGAGCUAUGGAAUUUAAUAGAGAGGAGUAAGAAAGAGAGAGUCUUGUUGCCUGGAGAAACAUGGGAAGAAAGAAGGGUUCUGGUGGAUUUGAUAAAACAAUAAGUAAACCAUCUGUUUUGUCAAGAGGAAAUAGAGGAAGCUGUAAUUAAGUAUUCUGAGGCAUUAGCUUUGUGCCCAAUAAGGAUGAGGAAAGAUAGAUUGAUGCUCUAUAGCAAUAGAGCUCAGUGUCGAUUGCUGCUAAGUGAUCCAGAUUCCGCCAUCAGAGACACAAACAGAGCUCUUUGUAUGUCACAUCCAGCAAACUCUCAUGGGAAAAGUCUGUGGAGAAGAUCACAUGCUUAUGGCAUGAAAGGGUUGACAAGAGAAAGCUUGAUGGACUGUGUCAUGUUCAUCAAUGGAUGCAUCAAGUCUGAGAAGAGUAGCCAGAGGGUUAACAUUCCGUACUACACAGCACGAAUGAUCAGCAAACAGAUGGACGCCACGUGGGUUUUUGCCACUGCCUGGUCCACCAUGGUGACCGGUCAAGUGUAAAACGUACAAGAAUCAGAAGGUAAUAAGGGUAACAAUGAAGGUGACAAUCAUAACAAGCAAGAAAACCAUGAAGAAAUGAUGAAGAUAAUGAUGGAGAACAAAGGUAAAUAAGUUUCGUACUCAUAUUAUCAUCAAUAUUUAUUAUGAUACACAGUAAAAAAUAUAUAUGAUGUUGAAAUUCAAAUGGCUUUAACACUGCACAGCUUUGGUUAUGUUUCUUAUAGCUUCUUUGCAUUCUAUGUUUGAAUUUGUUGAACAAAAUGUAGCAUUGUGCUAGUUGAGUAUUUUUUUUUUUAAAAUUGUAGACAUUUUAUAUGUGUUUUUCUUCCAAUAAUCAUGAUUCUGACCUAUAUAUGUAGAUUCGAUGCAACUAAUUUACAGUGUUUGACAUGAACAUUUUAUUUCUCCACUAUAAAUAAGACAAAAUCUGCAAACAAUAAUAUAAAGGGAGAGAAAAGUCACCUUCUUGAUCUUCUGCUGCCAGAUCCCUUAGCUUCUUCAAUAUAGUUGAAACAUUCAUCAAAGUGUUGUCCUAGGUUUGUGCAUUCUGAGUCCGUAACUACCUCAAUUUUGAAAAGCACCAAGAAAAUAUAACAAGAAAAUAUCAGUUCCAGAACCUUGGCUUGAAACAAUUAGUACGACCAAUUCAAUCUUAUGUUGUGUAUGCAUAGCUCAUAACUGCAAACUAAAGGCUGGUGAAAACAGAAUAUUUAUAUAAUUAUAGUGGAACAGAAGAUACUUCAAAAUCAGGAUCAAUGCUUCUGAUGGAGUAUACCAAACCCAUUUAGACUAAUAAACAGUUCAUAUAGAUAAAUAAGAUAAUUUGGAAAUCUGUGCUUGAUGCAAAAUCAUAAAAGAGCUCAAAACCCAGCUUUACUGAGUUUAAAAAUGAAGAUAUUGGAUAUAAUGUAUUGAAGUAAAUUAUAUCAAACACUAAAUUGUUCAUUGUAGAUUAAGAAACCUUAAAACAUAAAUAAAAAUGAGAGCCUAGUUCACCAGAUCAAGGAAGAGGACUCUUACCAUUCAAUACCUUAUACACAAAUUCAUUUGGAUAUUUCGGUGGCAAAGAAUUAGCUACUGUCAAUAUGUGUCAAGUUUAACUUUUUGAGUUCGUCCUUGUUGUUUGCAGCUCCAAUAGAACCCAAGAAGAGACCCUGGAUAGUGAAUAGAAUGUAAUGAAUAUUAGCUGCGGGAAAAGGGAAUGCAUCGAAUGGUGAAAAACGGGUAGUGAAGUUAUAAUUAAUAACCUCUUCAAUCUGGCAUGGAGAGAAUCUGUCAUUCAUAUUGCAAAAUUUCUGCAGCUGGUUCCUAAAGGAAUCAUCUACUUGAUUCAUUGCUAACUACAGAAACUCUCCACGCCAGUACACUUAUUCCUUUCAAGAAAAGAAUCCAACUGAUAAGGUAGCAAUUUUAAAUUUGGACAUAUCACAAGUUCCUAAUUUGACAAUUUAAUAUAGUGAGUCAAUUUCGAACAAAAAGGAAUCUGGGGAAACGAUUACUUAUCAACAGGUACAAAGCAGAUAAAACCAAAGUGAAAAAAGAAAAGGAAAAAAAAAAGAUUCUAGCAGCUAGUUAUGCUAGAGAAAAGUUUUGUGGUAAACUUCACCUUCAACAUAUGAUGAACAAAAAAAUUUUUGGCUGAUGACAUGAAUCUGUGCUUAGGUAGAGCUAUUUAUGCUUGGUACCAGAUUCUGGUAUUACGAUCUAUUUAUGAUGAACUUCAUUACUCGAGUAUGACACUACCUCUCUCGUGCCCUAACAAGAGAAGCAUUAUUAAGCACAGACGUUGGUUCCUCAAACUGAAUUUAUGUAACUUUAUGAUGGAACUUCACUUACUCUCACAUCACCACUCAUUCAUCCAGACUCUUUAGUUAGGCACCACACACUUUCUAUCACAUUUAGAGAUUUCAAGAUGACUUCCUGGAAACAAAUUCUAACACACUUUCGAUAAUCUACUGUACAUAAUUCAAACACAGCUUUCUGUUAAUGAUGCUACACAUCAAACUGUUUGGUUUGAUCCCACUAUCAAGCAUCAUUCUAAAGACAAUUGUGUACCUCCUCAGAUCUUCCAACUGUUUUUAAAGACACACCAAUAAAACUAUACUAAUCAAUUUCUGUAACACUUUCAGAUUCGUACAACUCUAUCAAUCAACUCAUACUCCUCUUCAACUUGGUCCUCCGCAACAAAGUCUUAAUUAAAGAACUGAUACGAGUCAGGAAACAACCUUAAGCUUCUAUUUGGUCCAAGAUAACAUAUGAAUCACAAAUAUACAACAUUAGGACUGCAAACCCCACCUUCCCUCUCCAAUUCCGUUAAGGCUCUCUCCAUAUCUGCAUGCCUAGAGAAUCUAUCAAGUAGUGCCAAGUAUAGCACAAAAUUAGGUAAACAACUAUGUUACUUCCUAAACUUAUACAACUGACAAGCAUCAUCGAACUGCCCCACAUUACAAAAUUCUAUCAUCAUCCCAUGUAUGUGAUCAGAAAGGAUAAAGAUCCACCAUACCCACCAUACACUUCCUUAGAACUGUCAAAGCUUCAUCAGCAAGCCUUAGCUUCUUCCACAAGUAAAAACCUCAAAUGCAUUGAGAUUAACAGAAGAAUCUUCAACUUUAUAAGUCUCCAAAACAACAAAAUAUCAUACUUGGGUUUGCCUAAUCUCAUACAACUGAUGAGCUUAGCUAAUUAUGAAAAUAGCUAGGCUGAGUGCAGUGAAUACCACCCAUAUGAAAAACGAAUGAAUAAACAAAUAAAAAUGAAAAACGACGGUGAGAUGCACUUGUAAUUGGCUAGGAUAGCAUCGCUUCACAACCUGAUUUACAAUUUUGGCUAAGAGGUUUCCUCUAUUUCAACAACCUUUCACUGGAGCUAAUUGUCAGCUAUCUCUAUAAUACACAAGAGAACUGCAAGUUUCCUAGUUUGUGAUUUUAUUAGGUAAACUAAUGAGAAGAGAAACUGAGACACUGAAGAAAGGGCCAUGAUUUAAGGGAAGUGUAGCGCAGAGAACUCAAAACUAUAACAUUGACUACUUCUGGAAGUAACAUCUUGACAGAAAACAAACUCAAAUAUGAGAAAAAUGUAAAACUCGCAUAAAAUUGAAGCAGCAAACAUACAGUACAGACCAUCAGAAAUGAGCAAUGUGAACAGUAAUCAAACUCAGAUAUUCUCAAAUUGCAAGGAAGAAUAGUAUCAAACAACGGGUCCUCAGCAGACCCAGUUUCGGAACUCGAAUGCCCAACAAAGAAGAGUCAUCCAUGAACAAAUAUCAGUGCACCACCAAUUGACACAAUCUCAACGAAGACAAAGAAGAUAAUUUGCAAUCCAAAAUCCAAUGCAAACUUUGAACAGAGGAACAUGACAAGAAAACUCACCUGAGAAUCGGAAAGCAAGUAAAACAAGUGUCAGCAUUUCUUUGCUCGGAGAAUGUCGGCGGCUGCCACUUUCCCCCGGCGGGAGAGUUGAGACUAACAGCACGUUUGGUAAGGGGGACUGUGUUACCCGGGCUUAGUUCCUUCAAUAGUCCUUCAUUCCUCAAGCCUGGCUUAUGCUAUGGAAGCCUUGACCCAUGUUUGGUGCAAGCAGGACUCGAUCCUCUCCCUCUUCAAUUUCUUCUAAACUUCCCCAUCUCCAAUUUCAAUUACUCUGGUUAAGACUGCUCCUUAAUUUGGAUUCCAUCAUUGGCAAUUAGCAAGCUUGACUUGAAUCGGAUUGAGCAGCUCCUUCAUUUGCAAGCAGGACUCAUCAAUUGAAAUCAUGAUUGAACAAACAAAAUGGAAAGGCCAGUACUCGAAUCAUUUUCCUGCAAAUACCAGAGGGGUCAUCAACAAACCAUGACAUGCACAUUCCAUAAACUCAUCAAAAAACUGAAAACGUAUAUUAAAGAAGCUGACCACAAAAUCAGACAUGAACUUGUUGAUCACCACAAAAUCAAUACAGACUAAAAUCAUUCAACUUUCACACCAAACGUACCACAGUCAAAUCUUCAACAGAAUAAGAAAAAAUCAGCCACGGAAUUGAUCAAUUCAUAGCAAAACAAGCUACCCAGACACCAAAUCUUCAAUCAAUCUGUAAAUUAACUAUAACCCAUAAACAAUUGCCAAUAGAUAAUCAAUCCUCAGUCAGUUUCCAGAAUAUACAGAAAGAAGGAGGAAGAAAAGGUUGAAGAACAGCGUGAACAACCUCUUCCUGGAAGAGAGAAUGAGAAAGGAGGAGGAGAGAAAUUGUUCAUGGGCAGGAGCAGUCGAGCGAAAAUAGAAGAGAUGAACGCGUUAGAGAGUCCGAUGAAAUUUGAGGUGUCUGUGUAAGAAGGUCAGCAUGAGACACGGGGACUCCGUAUACUCAUUAAAAUGAAUCCCUGGUUCCACCAAACAGGGGUUUCGGUUUAUUUUCUUACCUAAGCUAGUCCAAUUCCUAUUAAUCCGAUGUAACAAACGUAACCUAAAAUUGGUUAUAUGCCAGGAGACUAGUGAGUGUGUGCUUUCUUCUCUGGAUAUAAAAAUAAAAAUAAAAUUAUUUUUAACAAGGUUUAUUUGUAAAAUGCUUGAAGAAGCGAUUAUUAAUUCUUUUUAAGUUACAAUAAUUUUAAACUUGCCCUUAAAAAUGUCUUGAGCAACUGCUUGAAACGGAUUGCAUCAUCUUUGUACAUGCAAAUCUUAGAGCUCUCGGGUUCGGCUGCUAUACACAUUUGUAUGGCAUACAUCAAGCCGUAAGCCGUCUAAUCGUUUGGCAAUUCAAAAUUUAAAACGAUUGAACGGCUCACGGCUUGAUAUAUGCUAUACACAUAUGCAGGGGCGGAGCUAGAAAUUUACGUUUAGAGGGGCAGGCUGAUAUACAGUAAAAAAAAAUAUCCAAACUUUAUUGAUAUAUUAAAUCGAAUAUAAUUUUCAGUAUACAUUAAGAUAUAAAUCGAUAAUCAUUAAUUUCUCCUCCCAUUUUAGAAGACAAACGAGCAAUUCCAUCGACACGUCUUCAUUACUAGUUUAUUUUAGCUAAAUUUUUGUUUUUAAGUUUAUGUUAAUAGAUAACUGAGUAAUUUAAUUGAAUCAUGAAUCAAACUAAAACUUCAUUGUUCUAAGAGAACUAAUAUUAGUUAUGAAAAUGGAGAUGAAUAAUGCUAUAUUUUAGCCGAUUAGGAAAGAAAUGAAUGCAAAUUCUUUGCUCCCUUGCUCACCAUAAGUGAUUACCAAAUAUUUUAGGGGUGCCAUCAAUCAUAAUUAACUAGAAACUCUAUCAAAAAUUCAAAAUCAAUGCCCUCUUUGUUAGAAAUCACACAUCACCAAGAAAGUUGAGAGGUGUGAUGGCAUCCCUUGGUCCUCAAAUGUCUCCUUUCAUGUAGGGGUGGCAAUUUGGGACCCUGGCGAUACCAACCAACCACGUACCAACCGUACCAAACAAAUUGGUAUGCCAAGUAGUUGGUAACCGAGUUUUCGGUACAGUAGUACCGUACCAAGUUUUAGAAGUCGGUUGGUACAUGGUACAGAUUUUCCCAAAACACAGUAUACCAUGUACCAACCGAGUUAUAUUAAAAAAAAAAGAUUAAAACUAUUAAUCUAAGCCGUUGAUCUGUGGACUAUGGAUCUAACCUAGGUUACUUAGUUAGUUGAGUUGAGUCAGUUGACUCUAUUCUCAAUAACUCACAGUCACUCUCGGGUCUCGGCCUCUCACGCUCGUCUCUCUCGCGUCUCGCCUCAUCUCUCUACUUCGCAGCACCCCCGCGGCUCGGCCACCUCAACUUCGCAACACCUCCUCGGCUCCGCCACCUCGACUCAACUUCUAGCCAUCUCGCCUCUCUUGUCGUUAACUCAACAGCACCUCGGCCACCUCGACUCGGCAGCGCUAGGCAGCUCCUCGACUCUCCGACGAAGGGCAGCGCUGGGCAUCGCCUCAACUCUCCGACGAAGGGCAACGCUGGGCAGUGUCUCGACUCUCCGACGAAGGGCAGCGCCUCAACUCGCCGUCGACUUCGCAGCACCAAGCCUCGAAUCUCCGUAUGUAUCUAUCAAUCUAUGUGUUAUGAUUGUUAUCUAUCAAUCUAUGUGUUGAUUGUGUUCUAUGCUCUGUGAACAUUUUGAUGGUGAUUUGGAUUUGAGAUAUGAUUUGUUGUGUUUCGGUGCUUGUUUCGAUUAUUUUGCAUUGGCUUUAGAGUUAUGAAUUCAUCAGUUGGAUGAAUAGAAGGUAGAUUAUGAAAUGUCGAUAGCUUGGAAGAAAGAAUGGACCUUUUGAUAGUUAGAGAGUAGGAGUGAAUUGGGUAGCAAUGUUGAUUUUUGUUCAAGUUAGAGAGAAUGAGAGAGAAGAAGAAGAGGGUAGGGUUUGAAUGAGGAGAUAGAUAGAGAGAUAGACAACCUGUUUGAAUUUAUAUAUAGCUUGCUUCUUAAACUUGCUCGGGGUACAGGUCCAGUUAGUUGAAUAGUUGAUGAAUUUAAUUAAUUAAGAUAGAGGUGUUUAGCAGUCUAGCACUCUCCCGGCCUCACAACAUCAUUCUUUCCCUGCUAAUCUGGACUUUUGUGUUUUCAUUGGACAUGUGUUGUUUAAUUUUCUGUAUAAGACUUUGGACGUUGUUGGCUUGUUGCAUUUGAACUUUUGAAGUUUUGAUCUUGCUUGUUUAUGCAUUUGAAAUUAUAUGAUAUUAUGAUGUGUGAAACUUUGAAUGUGUUUGAACUUUGAAUAGUUUGAUAAUUGAUAGAAGUUUGGUAUAGGCCCAAAAAAAGGAUUUAAAUGAGCUGGGCCUUUCAGUUUGUUGGGCCUCAAUUUAAACUUGGUAGAUGCCCAAUACUAACCGUACCAACCGAGUACCAACCGUACCAACUAAGUUGGUAUACCAACUUUGGCGGUUGGUUUUGGUACAAGAUUUUGCCUACCAAUUUUAAGUUGGUUGGUACAUGGUAUUGAAAAAUAUAAUUGGUAUACCUACCAAUACCAGCCCUACUUUCAUGCACAUAUAUAUAGUAGAAAAGUCAAGAACUCUCUCACAUGCAUGAUGUUUCUGCUGCAUGCUACUAUGCUAGGAUCAAGUUACAACAUGUCAAAAGAGAUGCUAACAGGGAACCUCAUACUACUCGAUCUCUCUCGAUUUCCACCGCGAGAGGGCAAGGGAGGCCGUCGGAAUGAAGAACACGGGUCAGGGACUAUGGUGGCUGUCGAGACCGUCUGUUAUAAUCAAGAAACCAAACGGAGGAGGCUGCCAGAACGGUGUUGUCGAUCAUUGGGUCUUGAUAAUAAAGCUCACAAUUGGUAAGAAACUGCUCCUUUUGUAUGGGGACUUAAUGAUGUCAAAACUAGUCACAUUUUUUAUUUUUUUAUUCUUAUGCUUAGACAACUGCCAAACCAAAUAGGACUGACCCAUGAGAGAUGCAUAGGUUGUAUAGAGUUGCGCCAACCCCAUUUAGACUAAUGAUACUGUCUCGAUUUUCAAGUGUCUAUGUUAAAUUCAAUGUUUGUCCAAUUAUGUAAUGUAUGUCUCUUUUUUCCUGAAAUGAUAUAAGUUUACACCUAGAUCAUAGUAGAUAUGUCGAGCUGAUAAUAGGAGGAUAUAACUAGUUCUCUAGAUCUUGUGUAUAUAUGUCAAACUCUUUGUUGAUUUGUGUAUGGAGUUCUAAUUCAAUUCGUCUUCUCUGCCAUGUAAACAUAUCUUCUAAAUUUCUAAUCCAAUAUAGAUCAAUAAUGGAACUUGUAAGUUCCCCAAAAUCACACACUUACUGAAAAUUACAAUAAGCAAAUGUCCUGGAAUCCAAUGUGAAAGUUUCAGUAAUGGAAUUCAAUGUGAAUAUUGCAGAGUGUAUGCAAACCAGCAAAUGUCGUGCUACAAGUUUCUUGCCAGCGUGUUGGUUUAGCUUUACCAGUUUAGGAAAUAAAAGAUAUAUAUUACAGAAUUGGACAAACAUUGAAUUACAAGUAAUAUAUACUCCAUUGCCAAUAAUAAAAAGGAAAUGUGAAACUUAAAGUGUGUACUCAAAGUCAGGGUGGAGCUGAAUCAGCCAAACAAACUUAUAAAACCAAGAGAACUUACAUUUAGCUCUAACAAGCUAGUAAACUUAGAAAUGGCUAUUCCAGUGAUUGCUCUGAAUAAAUUUCCAGAUUCUUAAGAGUACAAGAAGCUGAGGGAAGCAUCCGAGGAAUGGGGUUGCUUCAGGCUAGUCAACCACAAGAUCCCAAUAACUCUGAUGUCAGAGAUGAAGAUGGUGGUCAGGUCUCUUCUUGAUCGUCCCGUGGAAAUCAAGAAGAACAACACUGAUGUCAUAGCUGCCAGCGGCUACUUGGCACCCAGCAAGGUCAACCCUCUCUAUGAGACUUUGGGUCUCUAUGACUUCGGCUCAUCUCAGGCAGUGCAGACCUUUUGCUCUCAGUUGGAUGCUUCUUCCUACCAGAGGUUAGCUAGGGCUGCUUUGCUAACUCCAUAUCAUUUCUGCUUAUUGUUCAUAUUUAUGUUUCUUUAUAUCUUACAUUGACCUUCUUACUACAUAACACAUGUUUAGUAAACAACAAAAUGGUCUAUUUAUUAAGAUUCAUAUAUAUGUAUAUGUUUGCUGAGUUGGUAUCUUAAUGUUACUGAAUGAGCAGAGAGGUAAUAGAGAAGUAUGCAGGAGCAAUAUAUGAGCUGAUAGUAGAUAUAGGGCAGAAGUUGGCGGAGAGUCUUGGGUUGGAGGGUGAUUCUCUGAAGGAAUGGACUUGCAUGUUUAGGAUUAACAAGUACAACUUCACUCCUGAAUCCUUUGGAACUUCCGGAGUUCAGUUACACACAGAUUCGGGAUUUCUGACCAUUCUUCAAGCCGAUGAAAAUGUUGGGGGUAUAGAAGUGAUGGACAAGUCUGGUGCUUUUGUACCAGUUGAUCCUUGUCCAGGCAGUCUCCUUGUCAAUCUUGGAGAUAUUGCUAAGGUAGGUGAUUGGUAACAUAUAUUAUGUUGUCAGUAACUUUUGCUAAUUUUUAUUUUACCCCAGGUGUGGAGCGAUGGGAUGCUGUGCAAUGUAAAGCAUAGAGUGCAAUGCUUGGAAGCCACCAUUCGGGUCUCUAUUGCUUCGUUUUUGUUGGGACCGAAGGACGAGGUAGUAGAAGCCCAUCCGAAAUUUGUUGAUGCGGAACACCUACGUUUGUAUACCCCCUUCACAUUUGCAGAUUACAGAAAGCUCAGAGUCACCACAGAUUUGCUAGAUGGGGAAGCGCUUGAACUGUUGCGCAUGAAGUCCUAGUUGGCAAAUGUCAGCUUGCCUCUUAUUAGUAUUUUACUUGAUAAUUAAGUAAUAAUCCAUUCUAGAUCGUACCUAUAAGAUUAAGGUAUUAAUUAUGUCUAAUUAUGAAUGGUCAAUGAGAUUUGUGCUUUGAAUCUAUAUAUCAGCUGUUAUUGAUCGAACUUCAGUUCGUUCUGUUUGCCAGUUGAUUUAACAUGAGAUAUUGAACAAGAAAUCGCUGCAGUAAGAAGUUUCUUUCACUAUUUAGAGGGAAAAUAAAUAAAAUGAAAAUUACACUCGUAACUGAUUUGGAUGAGCAUGCUAACUUAGAUUUGGACCCACCUUGAAAAUCAAUAGCAUGCUUGUACGUAGCAGUACUUCUUCGUACUAGACAACCAGUCACACAUUGUAAUGCAAUUUUAAAACUAGAAACCCAAGUUUGUUUAAACUAUUUGAGAUGCAUCAAUAGAAUGGGGCUUACUUCGUACUGCAUGUCUUCCGUAUGUUUCCUCUUCUUCUAAUAUUUCUGCAUAAGUAAGAGAUCGAUCUCACUAGUGUUCAUGGAAAACAAACAGGUGAUGCAUACAUAAGAUGGCACACACCUCCGCAACCAUGUCACUGAAAACGUCACACUGACUUUACAGCUUCUUCUCCUUACUUGCUUGUUCAUACCGGUGGAAAAUAUUAGAAGUAACAAACUGGUCAUCUUAUGUAACAACCACUUCACUAGUUAAAAAAUGGAACGCGCCCCACGCGCCAAGAGUUUGGCGUUUUGGGCUCUGCUAGGGUUUCGCGGCUUCGCUAGGUGGAUCGCUUGGUGGCCGCCAUGGCCUAUCCUCGUUCCAAAUUCUUCCUUUGGCUACGAAUUCCUCAUCUAUUUCAUGGGUACCUUACAGAUCGAGUCCGAUUUUGAUCUCCAAGUCUCACCCAAGACCUGUGUCGGGUUCUUAGACCGAAAUGCUACCAGAACGUUCGCUUCUAUCUAUGGAUGCUAGAGAGGAAUGUUUCCGGCUGGUUCUGUUGAAGUACUCCAUAGUAGAUCGAUCUACUGAUGAAGGAUGGGCGCUCAUGUCACCGGUGCUGGUGCUUUACCACUUCAAGACUUCGAGCGAUGACUGCUCACACGGAGUUGUGGACAAUCAAUUAAAUCUACAGCGAGGAUCAAUUCAGGGUCAGGCCGUCCUUCUUGACCUGUUUAGAAUUGAUCUUGUCAAGAUCUCAAUUUGGACCCAGGUACGUGUCCUUAUGAUUUCAACCCAGGUAUGUCUCUAUCUCGUACUCAUCUUAUUUGUUAAUUGGUUUUAUUUAUUACAUAACCUUAGAUUCUGUUUGUUAUACCCUUAUAGAAUCUGGGUUAUUGGGAGGAAAGAUAGUUAUAGAAGGAUUGGGAGUACUCUUCCAUCUUCUAGAAGUUGCAUUCAGGUUGACAUUGAUGCUUGUGAACUGUGUAUUGGUAUUACUGAAACCAAUAUUGUGAGCCUUUUCCAUUUAUUUGAUAAUGUUGUCAAAUAUGAUAGUGGAACGAACAAAGAAGUGAUAGUUGAUAUGAAUGAUGCUGUUGGAACCAAAAUUGAGGUCGGCACCUCCUUAAUGUUAAAUUGUUAUAUAUGAAGAUGCUCUCUUGGAAUAGCCGGGGAAGUUCCUGGCCGGGUUUUUUGGCUCAAACGAAUUUCUAUGCUUCAAGUUUAGAUAUUGAUGUCCUGUGUAUCUUAGAUACUAGAGCUUCAGAUGAUAUAGUUAGUAAGACCAGAACACUCCCCUUUGAUUCUCAUUAUGUUAGACCUGCACAAGGUCAAUGUGGUGGUCUCUUGUUAUUAUGGAAAUCUAGAAUGGUACAGGUUGAUGUUAGUGUACCACAUAACCGUUUUAUUCAUUGUAUGAUUACAGAAAUUGCAACUAACAAUCAUUGGUAUUCCACUUUUCUCUAUGCCUAUCCUAAAAAAGAAAAACAAGCUGCCUUGUGGAAUGAAAUCUUGGACUUAAAGCCAAGAAAUGAUGAACCCUGGCUCAUUAUGGGAGAUUUCAACAUCAUUAUAGAUGUUAAUGAAAAGCUUGGGGGCAACCAAGCAGUUACCAAUUUCAUGUUAAAUUUUUUGAGCUUUCUGAAUAAUGCAAAUCUUACUUCUCUUGAUGCAAUUGGUGUUCCUUUCACUUGGACAAAUAAACACAAGGAUAAUACUCUCAUUUAUGAGAGACUGGACAGAGCUUGUGUGAAUGCUAAAUUCCUUAAUCAAUUUCCAAAUGUGACCCUUGAGAAUCUUCCAAUUAUUGGCUCUGAUCAUGGCCCAAUUUGCCUAACAGUGAAGCAUAAACAGGCAAAGAAAGGCAAUGGCUUUAAAUUUGAAGCUAUCUAGCUUGCUCAUAAAGAUUUUAGACCUCUGGUCAAUAGAUUUUGGACACAAAACCUAGAGAGUGAUCCUCUUUUAAAUUUUUUGACUAUUUGUAACCAAUUCAAGGCCCAGGUUAAGAUAUGGAACAAGAAUGUUUAUGGCAAUCUUUUCAAGAAGAUUGAGGAAUUGAAUGAUAGAAGUAAUGAUCUUCAACAACAACUAAUGAGUUCUCCUUUCUCUGAUUACUUGCAGGAGCAGGAUAUGACUAUAAGGCAACAAUUACUGCAAUGCUACAAAGAUGAGAUAUUUUGGGCGCAAAAAGCUAGAGCAAAUUGGCUUAACCUUGGUGAUAAAAAUACCAAUUUUGUUUCAAACACAAGCAAACAUGAGGAGAAGAAGCAACACAAUUCUGAAAUUAAAGAACGCAAUGGGAACAUGGGUCAAUACAAAGGAAGAAAUUUCUGAUAUUUUAGUUAAAGAUUUUAAGAAAAGAUUUCAGAAGGAUACCACACCCAGUGACAUUGCUAUUACAAACUUCAUUAAUGUCAUUGAUCCGUGUAUUGAUAAUGUUGAUAAUGAUCUUCUUUUAAAGCAGGUUAUAGAUGAGGAGAUCUGGGAUGCAGUUAAGUCUAUUGGAGCCCUAAAAGCUCUAGGACCAGAUGGGUUACAUGCAAGCUUCUAUCAGAACUGUUGGACUGAAGUUAAAGGUACUAUCAUACCCAUGAUAAAAGAUUUUUUCAUGCUAAACAAGCCCUUGGAUUCUAUCAAUAAUACAAAUAUUGCUCUGAUCCCAAAAAUUGAAAAACCGGAACAAGUGAUUGAUUUCAGACCAAUUAGUCUUUGCAAUGUUUCUUACAAGAUCAUUACUAAGAUCAUAGUGAAAAGGCUUAGGCUUUUAUUAGAAAAAUGUAUUUCUAAGAAUCAAGGUGCCUUUGCUCUUGGAAGAGCUAUACAGGACAACAUCUUGAUAGCUCAUGAACUUUUCUCUGAUUUUCAAAGAAAGAAAGGUCAAGUUGGCUCUAUGGCUGUAAAACUUGACUUGGAAAAGGCUUAUGAUUAUCUUAGUUGGGAGUAUAUCUCAAAAUGUCUAGAAAAGUUUGGUUUUCAUGAAAACUGGAUCAAGUUGGUCAUGAACUGUAUCUCGACGGUUUCUUUUUCAGUCCUUGUUAAUGGUAAUGCUGAAGGUUGGUUUCAACCAACUAGAGGAAUACGACAGGGUGAUCCUCUUUCACCUUAUAUUUUUAUUCUUGCUAUGGAACCUUUAAUCAGGCAGCUCAAUGCAUUGGCCACCAACCAUAAAUCGCAGGUUGGUUUAUUAUCGUCUCCUCAUGGCUUUAGAAUCUCUAACCUAAUGUUUGCAGAUGGUUGUCUCAUUUUUAGAAAAGCUACUAAAAAAGCUGCUAGGAAAAUUUCUGAGGUACUUGAUACAUUUUUUGUGGCUUAUGGCCAGAAAAUUAAUUUUCAUAAAUCUUCUCUUUAUUUCUCUCCCAAAACUCCCACUGCUCUUAAAUUGGAAAUUGUUAGCAUUCUAAAUAUUCAGCAAAAAACUACCAUAAGAAAAUAUCUUGGUAUCCAUAAUGUUGUUUUUUAGAAGGAUCCUGUUAACGCUAAAGAGCUUCGCAUGAAAAUUUUCAAGAAGUUGGCUGGCUGGAAAAAAGGUACGCUCUCUCGACCAGGUAGACUUACCCUUAUUAAAUCUAAUCUCUCUGGAAUGCCUAAUCAUGUGAUGUCAUGUUUUAAAUGCUCCAAAAAGAUUACAAAAUCCAUUGACAAACAGGCUAGAGAUUUCUUUUGGGGAUCAGAUGCAAAAUGCCCCUCGGUCAGUUGGAACAAAGUCUGCACUCCUAAGAGUGUGGGAGGUUUAGGAAUUAGACCUUCCGCAUUCUUUAAUAAUGCAGCAAUUGCUAAACUUGCAUGGAAAGUGUUAAAUGACCAAGAGAAUUGGUGGUCUCAAAUCAUGAGGAAAAAGUAUACGAGGAAAGUUUCUUUUUUUAAUGCAAAUAAAAAGCAAUCAAGUUCUCUAGCUUGGAAAGGCAUUCUCGAUGCAAGGAGCCUCAUUCUUAAGGGAAUGAGAUGGGUAGUAGGGGAUGGCAGGAAUAUUAAGUUAUGGACUUUCAAUUCGGCAUAUGAGUUCCCGUUAUUAUAUUUGAUUCCUGAAAGCAACAGGAAUACCCUAAAUUUAGACGAAUCAGUUUUUGACUAUAUUUUUGGUGGUUGUUGGAAUAUUCCUAAACUUUUGUAGGUUCUUGAUCAGGAAGUUGUCAAACAAAUUAUUGGAAUUCCUAUUUCGGUAUCUCAUCAACCAGAUGAAUAUAUAUAUGGGGGCCUUUAGCUAAUGGAAGGUUCUCAAUAAAAUCUGUGACUUGGCUACAGAUGAAUGAGUUGGAAAAACACCAGCAAAUUGACUUGAUAAAUAAGGUGUGGAAACUUGAUGUCCCACCUAAAGAGAAAUUAUUUGGAUGGUUAUUGCUGAGAGGAAGACUUAAAACUAGAGAUAGAUUAUCAAGGUUUGGCCUUAUUGAUGAUAAUAGUUGUCUUUUAUGUGAUAAUAUAAUGAAACAGCUGAUCAUCUAUUUGGAGGUUGUGUUUCAACUUUUAAGUAGGAGAUGAUCGAGAACUAGUACUUGGAAUGUGUAAAUAGUAAAACAUAUGAUCGAAAUACACAAACAAUUAAUAUAAAUAUCAAGGGUCUGAAAAAACUCAAAGACGUCAAACACCAGAAGAAACAUUGAUAUCAUCCUCAAGUUUUCAUCCUAUUUUCCUUCUCCAUGGUUUCAUCUCCAUUCUCCCAAUUACUUUGCUAACUGGAACUAUACAAUUCCACAAAAAUUGGGUGAAGCCAUUCAAAAUUCUUGAAUCAUAUUGAUCAUGAAUUCGACAUGAGUAAUAUAUAUCACAAUUUCUCAAUGUUUUGUCAAGUCUCACCAAGGGUGAAUAUGUAGAUGAAGAUGACAAAACCAAAUCAAAGAUUGAGAAUGAAACCCAAGGCACAAAUUCCUUUUGUCCCUUGGCAUCAUUGGAUUUAGGGUUUAGUAUUUUUCCUCGAGUUCGUAUUCUGUUCAUCGAUCUUCUUCUUCUUAUUUUUCUCUUUCGAGGUUUUGUGAUUUUUUCAGAUUUUAAUUUUGUUAUUAAUAGGAGUUUACUUUUAGAUUAGAAAUAUAAAAUGACAUGUAAUUUCCAUAUCAUUUAGUGUUGUGCUGACAUCAUUCAUACAAUAAAUCUGGACCGUUGAACAUUUUAAAAUUUAAUGGAUCACAAUCGGUGUCAAAAUUUGUGUCAAAUAUGUUGUCCCUUGAAUUGAACCGGACCCAAAUAUCAAUUAUUCAAUCUCAAUCAUGAUUGAUGCCUCCAGAUUCAGAAGCAAUCAACCAUUUAUUAAACAUUUGAAAUACAAAAACAACAAUGGCCAGCAAAUAUUUCUAAGCAACUGAUGUGAAAUUGAAGUCGCCGCAAGUUGUUUGUCUGGAUCUGUACAAGAGAGAGGAGCUGAACCCAAGUCUAGAAGAAGCUAAAUCGAAUUGAAGAAGAUUGUCCUCAAUCUGAUGACCUCCGAUCACAAUAUUAGUUCUUGGGUUACUCGGGCUCUGACCAUUAUCCACAAACCCUAAACACACAACGUCCUUGGUCACCUGCACCAUCGAGUUGGCCCCAAAGAUUCUCCAGUACACGCUCUCGCUCUGCAACACAAGGUCGAUGGUAGGCACAACCAGGCCGGCACGCGUGCUAACAAUGGCGGUUGAGUUGAAGCAAGCUCCGAAUGGUGCUAUGGCUGUCACUCUGGGUACAUCAGAGAGUUCACUCACAAAUGCGUUGACAACAGCGUUGUAUAUUGACGUCUCCAAGACCGUGUAGGGAUGAACUGUGCUGAUCUUCGUGCCGCCAUAACCGUUUUCAUCGAUGGUUAGCAAGGAAGUGUUGAAUGAGGUGACGACCUUGUCGUUGAUCUUGAUUGACGUUACGUUGAUGAAGUAUUAUGUAGAAGCAUCACCUUCGAAAUAAGCACUGGCAGUGCUUACAGGGUUGAGGAGAAAUGGGGUGUAAGUAAGAGAUAUAGAGACGUCAAUGCCAGGAACAAGGUUGUAAGGGCCAUCUCCGAAGAAAACGGCACCGUAUGAUUUUGUUGAGGAAGGCAAGCAAAUGGCGAAUUUUCUUUUGAAGCUAAAAGCGGAAGCAAACAGAGAAGGAAGUCCAAUAUUAGCUCUACCAAGACCAGCCAUACCCUUGACACCACUCGCAAGGCGGUCCAAGAGAAAGGUUUCAGCACAAGCGAAGAGGAAAUUGGGAACAGAAACGAGCGUGGUAGGGUUAGAACCGUCUGUGGAGUGGAGGGAGACGACGUCUUGACCUACCUCACCGCCGUUACCGGCUGUGGGGAUGACGGAGUUGUCUGGGAGGACACUGCAUGUGUUGUUGUUGCAGCCUGGCCUGGGGGAAGAGUUGCACUCUGUAGUGCAGGCCUUAGAGUUUGCGAGGGAGCAUUGAGCUGAGUUGCAACGGGCAGGUUUGUAGGUAGAUGAGACAUAGUCUUGUUGACAGUCUACCCAAAGGAACUGACCGCCGAGGUCUAGGGUUAGUCUUACAGGGACAAGAGGGGUUCUUUGCUUGAUGCUGGUGAGGUAUUGGUGAGUGGGAGAGUGUUUGGCUACCGGAAGAACCAGGGCUUUGGGACGGAAAGAUGUUUUGGCUAAAGAUGGAGUGGCGAUGAAGAAGACGAGUGAGGAAAAUAGAGCAAGGCAGAGAAAUGAUGAGGAAUUAGCCAUUGUUAUGUAGAUCGAUGACUGGGUUGAAGAAGUUGGAGGAGGAUGUAUCCCAUUUUAUAGCUGUUGCAAGUCUUUCAAUAUGGAAGGUUAAUUGUUUUUCAAGUAAACCCAGUUUUAGUGUGCAUGUUAUAAUAUUGAGGUCUGAACCUGCUCCCUUUGUUAUUGACCUAUCUUUCUAUUUUCCUUGACCCAGAUGGAGCAAUUAACUAAGAAUUGGCUAUAUAUGAUGAUCGAUUAUGAAUAGCGCCGGCUCUUUCCGCAGUGCUAAUCCUUUUUCGCUGUCAAAGCAAAUCCAAAGGCCGCUCGAGUCUUUGAUUUCCAAUUAACAACUGAUUAUAAAGCAAGCUUUCCUUAAUUGUAUUUGCUAUGGCUGGGUUUGCGUCGUGUUCACUUAUCAUUUAUGCAUGUGGUCUAUCUGUGUGUGCUAAUUAAAUAGAUUAGUUAUGGAAUCUUCCUAGGGUUUUAAUAAUAUUGAUGGUUGUUGGUGGGUGGGCAAUUGAACAAAUGAUUAUGUUUGGUCCUUUGGAUUUGAGAGGAGGCAAAAGCUCGGAAACGUCGAGCAGGAUGGUGAUUUGGCAGUUGGAACUUUGAGUCGAGAUAUUUGGACCAAUGUAGUUUCAUAUGACAUUAUAUUUUGUUCUUCUAUUCAUCAAUAUGCGUGACCUAGUUAUGUUCCCAUUUCGAUCGAGGAUGAAUUUCUUCUUUUAUUGCUGCCUCUAGUAUUAUCAAAGACGGAACCAGAAAUCUUAAUCGAAGGGGGCUGAUGAAAAGGUUAAAAAAAUAUAAAUAAACUUUGUGGCGAAAUUAUUAUGAUAGAAAAAUUUGUUAAGCUAAAUUAUACAUGACUCGUCCAUCUUGGGGUUAUGAGUGCCAAUACUUAUGGUUUUACUAAAGUUUGGUUAAAUUGAGCCAAGUUUUGAAUGAUUAGAGUAACUUUAGCAAACUCUCUAUUUUAACUUUUACCUAUUUUAGAGAGCGUGUUUAGCUUUUUUUUUUAAUAUUUUCGGAGCUCUAGCAGACUAGCUAAAUUUUAGCUAUAAUGACUUUUAGGUAUCUCGCUAGCUAAAUAUAGAGAGCGAUAUGACUCAGAUGAGGCUAGCUAUAAUUUAAUACAUUCCUUGUAAGAUAUUUUACGUGAUAUAUAAAUAUAUUUAAACUAUUUAAUCUUUAUUUGAAAAAUAAUGUUGAUGUAAUGCUAGCUAAAAUAGAGACUAUUGAUGCAACCACAUUUCUAAAAUGGCUAGUCAAAAUGAUAUUUUAGCUAAUUUAAUUAAAAUUCAACUAAAAAAUAAUUAGCAUUGCUAAAGAUAUCAUGCUCUUACAACAUAUAAUUUGAAAUCUGAAGCGGUGUCAUGUUUGGUCCUUGAAUGCCUCCGCCUAUGAGUAUUCUGUCUUAGAACUGUAGUUUAUUAACCUACCCAUUGAAAUUAUUUAAUUAAUGUUAAAUUACUUGCCUCUCUAAAUGGAUGCAUUUUUAAAAUAUCAUGGCUACAUUUUCCUACUUCUCAUGCAAGGAAACAUGUAAUACAGUAUUAGACAUUGCAUAUAACGUGAUUCUACGUCGGAGUCACUAAUUAACAGUUGAUGAGAAAUUUGGGUAAUUGUAUAAUAAGGUUUGCUUUGAAACACUUGAAACGUAAUACUACAGGGUCUACUGUCUACACUGCAAGAUGAGGGUUGGAUUACUCCUGGAAGUUGAGGUUGUAUAUAUCACUUCACAUUUAGAGAAUCUCCAUGUCGGAUCAAAUCACAAUUUCGUCUCUCUGAAGUUUACUAAAUAAAUUAAGACUAAUAUUCAUCGUCAAUGAUCAUGCAUGGUAUAUCUUUUUUCUUUUUUUCUUGAGACUUUAAUUUGCACCGUGGAAGAAGUACAACCGUAACCACUUUUUUUACCAUUUCUCACGAAGAAAGAAGUGAAAGAUGCUAUACCAUACGUUUUUUAGGAUAAAUUUUCUGUAACUUAACAUGCAAAUGGGGUGAGUGAAGCCAUACGUUUUCUAGGAUAAAUUUUCUGUAACUUAAAACAUGCAAAUGGGGUAAAUCUUCACUCACAUUCUCAUAUGCCUGACGUCUAAGUUUAGACAGUGAUCAUUAUAUUAUGAAAAGAGAAAGUAAGAGAGGGGAAAGCUAUAUAUUUAUAUAAGCAGCUAGAUCAUGAUCGAUGAGUAAGACUGGUACUUAUCCUUUCAUUUUGACAAGCAGCAUAUUGGGAAACUGUAACAAGUUAGGGCAUUAGUCUCACUUUAACAGAAUCUGUGGAUCUUUCUGAAUUGGAUAAUAUCAAACCAGUACACUCUGACAAGGAUAAUGUAGAGAAAUAAGAAAAUAAAGAAAACAGUUCGCGGAUGCAGGGUUACAUCGAGAGCUGCCAUAACCAUUUAUUAUCACAUGAAUGGAUUAAUUAGCCACUAGCUAGAUCUAAGCAACAGAAGUGAAAUUGAAGUUAGCGCAAGUCGUCUGUCGGAACAAGAGAGAGGAGCUGAAUCCAAGCCUAGAAGAAGCCAAAUCAAACUGAAGAAGAUUGUUCUCAAUUUGAUGCGCCCCAAUCACAAUAUUAGUUCUAGGGUUACUCGGGCUCUGACCGUUGUCCACAAACCCUAAGCACAGCACGUCCUGGUUCACCUGCACCAUCGAGUUCGCCCCGAAGAUCCUCCAGUACACGCUCUCGCUCUGCAACACCAGAUCGAUGUUAGGAACCGGAAGGCCGACCCGAAUGGCUCUACCGGUGUCACUCUCGGCACGCCAGAGAGUUCUUUAGUAAAGAGAUUAACGAAAGCGUUGUAGAUUGAGGUCUCCAUGACUGUGUAAGGAUUGACGCUGCUAAUCUUUGUGCCUCCGUACCCGUCUUUGUCGAUUGUCAGCAACGAAGUGUUGAAUCCGGAUAGUACCUUUCCGUUGAUCUUGAUUGACGUUACGUUGAUGAAGUAUUCCAAGGAAGGCUCUCCUUCUUCAUAAUUAGCCCCAGUAGUUACAGGAUUGAUGAUCAACGGGGUGUAGAUAAGAGACUUAGAUACAUCAAUACUGGGAAGCAGAUUGUAUGGCCCGUCCCCGAAGAAUACGACGCCGUAUGAUCUUCUUGAGGAGGGCAAGCACACGGCGAAUUUUCUCUUGAAGCUAAAAGCGGAAGCAAAUUGGGAAGGGAGGCCGAUUUUAGCCCUGCCAAGGCCAGCAAUACCCUUGACACCUGCUGCAAGUUGUGUCAGGAGAAAUGUUUGGCUGCAAACGAAGAGUAAGUUGGGUACAGAAACGAUCUUGGUAGGAUUAGACCCAUCUGUGGAGUGAAGUGAGAUAACAUCUGAAGAUAUAUUGGCCUCCAUGAGUUGAUGGAGUUCAAAGAUUUCGAAAAUAGUGACAAAGAGAAGAUAUUGAAGUUUCCUAUUCGGAAGGUCUCUUGCCAUAUAGGUUGGGAUUUCCUUCUAUAUUUCUCAUCUUUUAUAUGGAUAGUUCUAGAUAUAUUUGGAAUGUAUUUUCAAAUAUAUUUUCAGUUUAUUAGGAUAUAGGCUGUUUAAGGUUAGUUCCUUUUCUAUACAAUUUAGAUUUAGAAAGUUGUUAUGGCAUUGAGGUGAUUCGGAUCUAGAUGGAAAAGAGGGCAGCUAGGUUCGGCUGCAAGGGUUUGGUUUAUAUAUAUACAUAUAUAUAUAUAUAUAUAUAUAUAUAUCUCGAGGUACGGCUGUAUACAUGUGGAGAUAGAGGUGCUAGGGUUUAACAUAUAUACAUAGAUAUAUAUAUGGUAGGGAGAAGAGAAAAACAUUGAGAAGAAAAUAUAGGUUUCGUGAAUGUGUGCUCUAGAGUUUUUUUUGUGUGAACAAAUAUUCAGAUCAUAGUAUAGUCCUGUGUGGCAAGAGACCUUCGUGACUCCAUUGAAGACCUUCGUGGCUUCAAGUCCUUCGUGGCAUUUCGAGACCUUCGUGGCUUCAAGUCCUUCGUGGCAUUUCGAGACCUUCGUGGCUCCAUUCAAGACCUUCGUGGCUUCAACGACCUCCGUGGCGUUAUCAUCCUUCGUGGCAACAAAGACCUUUGUGGCUUUGUAUUACACUUGACCGUGUUCUUCAAGUGUGAAGUAAUUUUACUUUUGAGAAUAUAUUACUUUUGAUCAUGUGUUGUCAAGUAAUUGUAAUCUUCUAUUCAAUAGUAAAGUAAAGUUCUUCUAUAUAAUCCGCUGCUUAUCUCAUAAUCGUUCUAUCUAGUAUUUUCAUUUGGUAUCAGAGCAGGUGCUGGAGGUGUCCGGUAGAUCUAGCUAAAGAUGGAACGAAAUGGGUUGAAUCAACCGCCCAUGCUCAAAGGAAUGGAUUUUGCUCAAUGGAAACUUCAAAUGAGAUCAUUCAUUUAUGGCAUUGAUUUUCAUGCAUGGAGAAGUGUGGAACGUGGCUGGAAAGCUCCUGAGAUUUCUACGGAUGGAAAAGCUCCAGAAGGGUCGUCAUCUAAAUUAAAGGACGAAGAUGAUUGGGAUGAAAAAGAGAUCAAACUGAGUGAAGCUAAUCACAAAGCCUUAAAUGCUCUCUAUGCUGCUCUAAGCAGAGAUGAAAAAAAGAAGGUUCAGAAUUGUGUUACCGCCAAACAGGUUUGGGAUAAAUUAUGUGUUCUUCAUGAAGGUAAUGAUGUUGUAAAAGAACAAAGGUUACAACAAUACUAUUCUGAAAUUGAUGCUUUGAAAAUGAAAGAUGAUGAAUCUAUUGAUGAUUUUUAUGCUCGUUUUACUGAUCUUUCUAGUUUAUGUGAAAGCUUGGGACGUCCUUUAAAAGAAUCUGAUAUUGUCAGGAAAAUUUUGAGAUCUCUUCCAAAGAAGUACAGGAUAAAAAAGACGACGAUUCAGGAGCAAUACAACUUGAAUGAAUAUUCAGUAGAUUUGUUGAUCGGAAAUCUGAAGGCUUGGGAAAUGGAACUUGAAGAUGACGAAAAACCUAAAGGUACAAGUUCAAAAAAAUAUUGCUUUGAAAUGUCNNNNNNNNNNNNNNNNNNNNUAU
rnacentral:lncRNA from 1 species